rnacentral:rRNA from 1 species
AGAGUUUGAUCAUGGCUCAGAACGUACGCUGGCGGCACGCCUAACACAUGCAAGUCGAACGAAGUAGCAAUACUUAGUGGCAGACGGGUGAGUAACAUGUAGGUAUCUGCCCUUUGGCCUGGAAUAACACGAGGAAACUUGUGCUAAUACCGGAUAAGUCUUUACGGAGAAAGCUUUAUGCACCAUUGGAUGAGCCUGCACUUGAUUAGUUUGUUGGUGGGGUAAUGGCCUACCAAGACUGUGAUCAAUAGCUGAUUUGAGAGGAUGAUCAGCCACAUUGGGACUGAGACACGGCCCAAACUCCUACGGGAGGCAGCAGUGGGGAAUCUUGCACAAUGGAGGAAACUCUUAUGCAGCGAUGCCGCGUGAGUGAAGAAGGCCCUUGGGUUGUAAAGCUCUUUCGUCGGGGAAGAAAAUGACUGUACCCGAAUAAGAAGGUCCGGCUAACUUCGUGCCAGCAGCCGCGGUAAUACGAAGGGACCUAGCGUAGUUCGGAAUUACUGGGCUUAAAGAGUUCGUAGGUGGUUGAAAAAGUUGGUGGUGAAAUCCCAGAGCUUAACUCUGGAACUGCCAUCAAAACUUUUCAGCUAGAGUAUGAUAGAGGAAAGCAGAAUUUCUAGUGUAGAGGUGAAAUUCGUAGAUAUUAGAAAGAAUACCAAUUGCGAAGGCAGCUUUCUGGAUCAUUACUGACACUGAGGAACGAAAGCAUGGGUAGCGAAGAGGAUUAGAUACCCUCGUAGUCCAUGCCGUAAACGAUGUGUGUUAGACGUUGGAAAUUUAUUUUCAGUGUCGCAGCGAAAGCGAUAAACACACCGCCUGGGGAGUACGACCGCAAGGUUAAAACUCAAAUGAAUUGACGGGGACCCGCACAAGUAGUGGAGCAUGUGGUUUAAUUCGAAGAUACGCGCAGAACCUUACCAACACUUGACAUGUUCGUCGCGACUUUAAGAGAUUAAAGUUUUCGGUUCGGCCGGACGAAACACAGGUGCUGCAUGGCUGUCGUCAGCUCGUGUCGUGAGAUGUUGGGUUAAGUCCCGCAACGAGCGCAACCCUCACUUUUAGUUGCCAUCAUUAAGUUGGGCACUCUGAAAGAACUGCCAGUGAUAAGCUGGAGGAAGGUGGGGAUGACGUCAAGUCCUCAUGGCCCUUACGUGUUGGGCUACACACGUGCUACAAUGGUAUCUACAACAGGAAGCAAGACUGCGAAGUUUAGCAAAUCCUUAAAAGAUACCUCAGUUCGGAUUGCACUCUGCAACUCGAGUGCAUGAAGCUGGAAUUACUAGUAAUCGUGGAUCAGCGUGCCACGGUGAAUGCGUUCCCGGGUCUUGUAGA